rnacentral:RNase_P_RNA from 1 species
UGAGCUAGCUGGAUAAUCGCUCUUUAUUGAGAGGAAAGUCCGGGCUCCAAUGGACAAGACGCCAGGUAACCCCUGGGAGAUGUAAAUCUACGGAAAGUGCAGCAGAAAAUAAACCGCCUACAAUGUGGGUAAGGGUGAAAAGGUGUGGUAAGAGCACACCGC